CCUACGGGAGGCAGCAGUAGGGGAUCUUCCACAAUGGGCAAAAGCCUGAUGGAGCAACGCCGCGUGGGUGAAGAAGGUCUUCGGAUCGUAAAACCCUGUUGUUAGAGAAGAAAGUGCGUGAGAGUAACUGUUCACGUUUCGACGGUAUCUAACCAGAAAGCCACGGCUAACUACGUGCCAGCAGCCGCGGUAAU
rnacentral:rRNA from 1 species